AUGGAUGAGAGAAGAAUAACUCAUGAGAUACAUGUGUUCUCUGAUGCCUCGGAACAAUCCUAUGGAGCUGUCGCUUACCUGAGGACAGUUGAUACUCAGGGUCAGCCUUAUCUCUCCUUCAUUGUAGCCCGUUCAAGAAUUGCACCUAAACGACUGCACUCAAUGCCCAGACUGGAGCUCUGUGCUGCCCUCACAGGAGCCCAACUCAGUAGAUUGUUAGAACGAGAGCUUACCCUGCCAAUCAGCCGAACUACCCUCUGGACCGAUUCAACCACGGUCUUGUCCUGGUUACACUCUGAGUCAUGUCGAUUUAAAGUUUUCGUUGGCACUCGAGUGGCAGAAAUUCAGGAGCUCACUGAUCGACUUUCAUGGCGAUAUGUUGACUCAGCGAAAAACCCUGCUGAUGACCUCACCAGAGGUAAGAAGCUAGAAGAACUGGCUGAGCCUAACCGAUGGAGCCAUGGGCCACCCUUUCUUCUUCAAAGCCCAGACAAAUGGCCGACCCCACCAACAACAGUAAUAGACGAGUGUCACACAGAACUUCGCAAGUCUAUAUUCUGUGGAGUCACUACGACCAUACCUGACAAGGAGCCUUACCUACCAGAUGUGCAUCAGUACACCACUUGGAGGGAACUUUUGGAGGCAACCGUACAGAAGCUUCAAGGGGCGGCAAGUAACAGCAGAGCUCUGAGUGCUGAUGACUACAGUACAGCCGAGAUUUUUAUCCUAAGAAGGGCACAACAGGAUAGCUUCACAGAGGAGUUCAGCCUACUGCGAAAUGGGAAAACAGUUCAACGUAAUAGCCGUCUACUUACGCUGUCUCCAGAGCUGGACAAGACAGAUGAACUCAUUAAGGUUGGUGGCAGAUUGAGACAAUCUGAAGACUUAGACCCAGCUGCUGUGCAUCCCAUUAUUCUGGAUCACCACCAUCCCACCACUAAGCUUUUGAUCCAAGACUACGAUUCUCGACUCGGCCACCCCGGCCCUGAGAGAGUGUUUGCAGAGAUCCGCCGCAAGUUUUGGAUCUUAUGA
ensembl:lncRNA